rnacentral:rRNA from 1 species
AGAGUUUGAUCCUGGCUCAGGACGAACGCUGGCGGCGUGCCUAAUGCAUGCAAGUCGCACGCACGGUGCUUGCACCGUGAGUGGCGCACGGCUGAGUAACUCGUGGGUACCUGCCUUCCAGUGGGGGAUAACAGCCCGAAAGGGCUGCUAAUCCCGCAUACGCUUGGCUUCGGCCAAGGAAAGUGGUAACGCGCUGGAAGAGGGGCCUGCGGCCCAUCACGGUAGUUGGCGGGGUAAAGGCCCACCAAGCCUUUGACGGGUAGCUGGUCUGUGAGGACAACCAGCCAGACUGGGACUGAGAUACGGCCCAGACUCCUACGGGAGGCAGCAGCAAGGAAUUUUCCACAAUGGGCGCAAGCCUGAUGGAGCAACGCCGCGUGCAGGAUGACGGCUUUCGGGUUGUAAACUGCUUUUUGGGGGGAAGACACUGACGG